rnacentral:rRNA from 1 species
CCUACGGGGGGCAGCAGUGAGGAAUAUUGGUCAAUGGGCGGGAGCCUGAACCAGCCAAGCCGCGUGAGGGAAGAAGGUACAGCGUAUCGUAAACCUCUUUUGUCAGGGAACAAAGGCGGGGACUAGUCCCCGGAUGAGGGUACCUGAAGAAAAAGCAUCGGCUAACUCCGUGCCAGCAGCCGCGGUAAUACGGAGGAUGCGAGCGUUAUCCGGAUUUAUUGGGUUUAAAGGGUGCGCAGGCGGCCUGUUAAGUCAGCGGGAAAAGCCCGGGGCUCAACCCCGGCGAGCCGUUGAAACUGGCGGGCUGGAGUUGGAGAGAAGUAUGCGGAAUGCGCGGUGUAGCGGUGAAAUGCAUAGAUAUCGCGCAGAACUCCGAUUGCGAAGGCAGCAUGCCGGCUCCACACUGACGCUGAGGCACGAAAGCGUGGGUAUCGAACAGGAUUAGAUACCCUUGUAGUC